UCGUAUUUACUUCAUGUUUCAACUAUUUCUUUGGGCGAACUAUGGGAGGAUUUCUCAUUCACGUCAUCCAAGAUAAUGACUUGAGCUAGCCAAUGUUGGACAUAUGCUCUGUGUUUUUCCCUCAGAGAACUAUUUGAUUAAUUUCUGUACAUUGCAUUAACAAAUGGAUAAUGAUACGUGUCUGACAAUGAAAUUAACCACGCAAAAAAAUUAAACUUUUGUGAAUUGAUGUUCUCCUGGGGCUUGCCUCAUAUAAUCUAAGAAUGCCAUUUAACAAUUGGUUUCCAUCUUUUUUAGGUUCGACAACUGACAAUAACGAUAAGGUAACUUCCUCAACUUACUCUAACUCCGUUUGCAGUUAGAUAAAAGACUAGUGAUCAAUUUCGUAUCUCUUACAUGCAGAACUAUCGUGAACGGACUAUGCUACCUUGCAACAUUUGUUUUCGGAAUUAAUGCAAUUGGUUUAUUCCUUUACUCUGGUCAGUUGGCCAUGAAUUCUGUUAUGGAAGAAGGUUCCAAAGACACAGAACCUAAAGCUAAAAGUGAU
rnacentral:lncRNA from 1 species